AUACGGAGGGUGCAAGCGUUACUCGGAAUCACUGGGCGUAAAGGACGCGUAGGCGGGAAGCCAAGUCUGAUGUGAAAUCCUAUGGCUUAACCAUAGAACUGCAUUGGAAACUGGUUACCUAGAGUAUGGGAGGGGGAGAUGGAAUUAGUGGUGUAGGGGUAAAAUCCGUAGAUAUCACUAGGAAUACCGAAAGCGAAGGCGAUCUCCUGGAACAAUACUGACGCUAAGGCGUGAAAGCGUGGGGAGCAAACGGGAUUAGAAACCCUUGUAGUCC
rnacentral:rRNA from 1 species